CGAUUUCCGAAUGGGGAAACCCAGUGUGUUUCGACACACUAUCAUUAACUGAAUCCAUAGGUUAAUGAGGCGAACCGGGGGAACUGAAACAUCUAAGUACCCCGAGGAAAAGAAAUCAACCGAGAUUCCCCCAGUAGCGGCGAGCGAACGGGGAGGAGCCCAGAGCCUGAAUCAGUGUGUGUGUUAGUGGAAGCGUCUGGAAAGGCGCGCGAUACAGGGUGACAGCCCCGUACACAAAAAUGCACAUAUUGUGAGCUCGAUGAGUAGGGCGGGACACGUGGUAUCCUGUCUGAAUAUGGGGGGACCAUCCUCCAAGGCUAAAUACUCCUGACUGACCGAUAGUGAACCAGUACCGUGAGGGAAAGGCGAAAAGAACCCCGGCGAGGGGAGUGAAAAAGAACCUGAAACCGUGUACGUACAAGCAGUGGGAGCCUCUUAAUGGGGUGACUGCGUACCUUUUGUAUAAUGGGUCAGCGACUUAUAUUCUGUAGCAAGGUUAACCGAAUAGGGGAGCCGAAGGGAAACCGAGUCUUAACUGGGCGUUAAGUUGCAGGGUAUAGACCCGAAACCCGGUGAUCUAGCCAUGGGCAGGUUGAAGGUUGGGUAACACUAACUGGAGGACCGAACCGACUAAUGUUGAAAAAUUAGCGGAUGACUUGUGGCUGGGGGUGAAAGGCCAAUCAAACCGGGAGAUAGCUGGUUCUCCCCGAAAGCUAUUUAGGUAGCGCCUCGUGAAUUCAUCUCCGGGGGUAGAGCACUGUUUCGGCAAGGGGGUCAUCCCGACUUACCAACCCGAUGCAAACUGCGAAUACCGGAGAAUGUUAUCACGGGAGACACACGGCGGGUGCUAACGUCCGUCGUGAAGAGGGAAACAACCCAGACCGCCAGCUAAGGUCCCAAAGUCAUGGUUAAGUGGGAAACGAUGUGGGAAGGCCCAGACAGCCAGGAUGUUGGCUUAGAAGCAGCCAUCAUUUAAAGAAAGCGUAAUAGCUCACUGGUCGAGUCGGCCUGCGCGGAAGAUGUAACGGGGCUAAACCAUGCACCGAAGCUGCGGCAGCGACACUAUGUGUUGUUGGGUAGGGGAGCG
rnacentral:rRNA from 1 species